UUCCACCCUUCCCAAGAUUAAUUCAAUCUCUCUCUUCUCUACGAUUUCAACCUCGGACAUAGAGGGAAACAUAUUGCCACAUUGAAACACAGAUCUCUCUCAUCUUAUUUUCAUUCCUCCUCUCACUCACCACAAGAUCUGAAUCGGUUUUAUCCGCCAAAGCUUCCUUCACUUCAAUCUCAGUUCUUUGCCAAUCACCAAGAUUGCAUUGACCAAAUCGCUUUAUGAUUUCAUCUAAGAUCCACCAUUGAUUUUUGGAUUCAAGCUUACGGUGUGAUAAUAAAGACCAAAGACGGAUUGAAGUUUUGAUUGAAGCUGGAUGUACCAAUCUUUCUUUUAAGGUUGAUUCUAGGCAAUAUUUGAAAAAUGGUUGCAUUUGCUUGCAUAUUAGAAACCAAAAAAAGGAUUAUUUUUCAAGGGAGAUUAUGUUCUGUCGGUGUCGGAUGGCUGAUAGGGAGAAGAAAUUAUUGAUUCUAUUUUUUUCUUUGGCUAUUGUUUCAAUCUUUAAAGAUAUUCCUGUCAGAUUAUUACUACUGGGUUAUGAUAGCCAACAACCAAUUCUUAGGCAAUCUCUUUGGCAAAUAUAUAUCAGUUUGAGUUUACAGAUUUAUAGAGUAGAUUAAGUAGGUGUUUGGAAAAUCAUUUACACACAUUUCUCAAAGUAGAUUAUUUCUAUUUAGGUGUGGUGAUUACAGCGCACUCUUUCAUAUUCUGAUUUGGCUUACAAUUACAGUCAUUGAGGCAUGGGGCAGCUGGCUGCAGUGUGCUGUUGCGGGAGUUCAGAGGAAGGAUCGCGUUGGGUUGUAGUCGGAGGUGAGAUGCAGCGUCGACAAAAUCUUCUGUUGUUUUCUUAUUUGCUCAAGUUUCUUCUCUUCUUUGUUUUUGUUUCAAAUCUGUUUGUUUGAAUUAAAUAACAAAGUUUAUGUUUUUCAUAAACUUUGCAGUUAACUGUUAUGUUGUUGUUCUCUUGCAUUGGUAGAAUGAUUUGGAACAAAUUUGUGAUACUUGCAAUGGUAUAUGAGAGUGUUGUUAACAGGUUGUGAAUGGUGUGGAGGCUGUUUCUUUCUGUUCCAUUUUUCCAAUUGCUUACACUUAUACCUAUACCUAUAAGAUAUAAUGUUAAGUGUUUAUCAUAUAAGCUAUAAACUUAAUUACUUAAAUAAAUAUUCAUCAUGUGCUGAUUUCAAAAUUCUUAAAUCAUGUAAUAGGCAAUCAAAACAUAUUUUGAUUACGGCAAUUUGACCCUCUUUUACUCUUUUGUUAUGCCCUAUAGAUUUAUACCUAUGUGUGUUGAUAGAAUGUUGUCCAUUUCAGAUUAUAUCAACAGCAGACUCUAUAGAUUAUAAGUUUUAUUUAAAAAAAAAUGUUAAAAUCUAAAAACUUUCUUAGUACUUUUGAUUACAAUGAUACAGGACAUGUCCGAUAAUAAUAAUUUUGAUUACAAUAAUACUUUCUUAAACUUUUCCAUUCUUCUUAAUGACUCCGCUUUUGGAAAGAUUUUGUGUAAAAAUUAUAGUGAUUUGGAAUUGAUGAUGAAGAUAGGAUGGUUUUGUGUUGUUUUUGGAAAGAUUGAUUUGUUCACUAACCAAAGAUGAGAACAUGUAUCUGAUUUU